UGGGGAAUAUUGGACAAUGGGCGAAAGCCUGAUCCAGCCAUGCCGCGUGAGUGAUGAAGGCCCUAGGGUUGUAAAGCUCUUUCACCGGUGAAGAUAAUGACGGUAACCGGAGAAGAAGCCCCGGCUAACUUCGUGCCAGCAGCCGCGGUAAUACGAAGGGGGCUAGCGUUGUUCGGAAUUACUGGGCGUAAAGCGCACGUAGGCGGAUACUUAAGUCAGGGGUGAAAUCCCGGGGCUCAACCCCGGAACUGCCUUUGAUACUGGGUAUCUCGAGUCCGGAAGAGGUGAGUGGAAUUCCGAGUGUAGAGGUGAAAUUCGUAGAUAUUCGGAGGAACACCAGUGGCGAAGGCGGCUCACUGGUCCGGUACUGACGCUGAGGUGCGAAAGCGUGGGGAGCAAACAGG
rnacentral:rRNA from 1 species